AUUAAACGCUGGCGGCAUGCCUUACACAUGCAAGUCGAACGGUAGCGCGGGGCAACCUGGCGACGAGUGGCGAACGGGUGAGUAAAGCAUCGGAACGUGCCCUGGAAUGGGGGAUAACGUAGCGAAAGUUACGCUAAUACCGCAUAUUCUGUGAGCAGGAAAGCAGGGGAUCGCAAGACCUUGCGUUCUGGGAGCGGCCGAUGUCGGAUUAGCUAGUUGGUGGGGUAAAAGCCUACCAAGGCGACGAUCCGUAGCGGGUCUGAGAGGAUGAUCCGCCACACUGGAACUGAGACACGGCCCAGACUCCUACGGGAGGCAGCAGUGGGGAAUUUUGGACAAUGGGCGGAAGCCUGAUCCAGCCAUGCCGCGUGAGUGAAGAAGGCCU
rnacentral:rRNA from 1 species